rnacentral:rRNA from 1 species
AAAUGAAUUGACGGGGACCCGCACAAGCGGUGGAUGAUGUGGAUUAAUUCGAUGCAACGCGAAGAACCUUACCUACCCUUGACAUGUCCGAAACUUGCCAGAGAUGGCUUGGUGCCCGAAAGGGAAUCGGAACACAGGUGCUGCAUGGCUGUCGUCAGCUCGUGUCGUGAGAUGUUGGGUUAAGUCCCGCAACGAGCGCAACCCUUGUCCUUAGUUGCUACGCAAGAGCACUCUAAGGAGACUGCCGGUGACAAACCGGAGGAAGGUGGGGAUGACGUCAAGUCCUCAUGGCCCUUAUGGGUAGGGCUUCACACGUCAUACAAUGGUCGGUACAGAGGGUUGCCAAGCCGCGAGGUGGAGCCAAUCCCACAAAGCCGAUCGUAGUCCGGAUUGUUCUCUGCAACUCGAGAGCAUGAAGUCGGAAUCGCUAGUAAUCGCAGGUCAGCAUACUGCGGUGAAUACGUUCCCGGGUCUUGUACACACCGCCCGU